UGGGGAAUAUUGGGCAAUGGCCGAAAGGCUGACCCAGCGACGCCGCGUGUGGGAGGAAGCCCUUCGGGGUGUAAACCACUGUCAGAGGGGACGAAAGAGCGGGGAGUGAAUAAUUCUUCGCAGUGACGGUACCCUCAAAGGAAGCACCGGUUAACUCUGUGCCAGCAGCCGCGGUAAUACAGAGGGUGCGAGCGUUGUUCGGAAUUACUGGGCGUAAAGCGCGCGCAGGCGGGUCCUGUAAGUCGGAAGUGAAAUUUCGGAGCUCAACUCCGAAGCUGCUUCUGAUACUGCGGAUCUAGGGAUCGGUAGAGGUCGGUGGAAUUACAGGUGUAGCGGUGGAAUGCGUAGAUAUCUGUAAGAACACCCGUGGCGAAGGCGGCCGACUGGGCCGGAUCCGACGCUGAGGCGCGAAAGCGUGGGGAACAAACAGGAUUAGAUACCCUGGUAGUCCACGCCGUAAACGAUGGGCACUAGGUGCCGGGGGGAGCGACCCCUUCGGUGCCGCAGCUAACGCGAUAAGUGCCCCGCCUGGGGAGUACGGCCGCAAGGCUGA
rnacentral:rRNA from 1 species